GUGUUACAAGGACAUCAGAUAAAAUUGGAACGAUACAGAGAAGAUUAACAUGGCCCUUGCGCGUGGAUGAUACGCACAAAUUAAGAAAUGGUAUCAAAGCCUU